rnacentral:rRNA from 1 species
GACGGGGGGUCCUAGCGUUGUUCGGAAUUAUUGGGCGUAAAGCGUGCGUAGGUGGCUAUGUAAGUCAGGAGUGAAAGCCCUGGGCUCAACCCAGGAAGUGCUUUUGAUACUGCAUAGCUUGAAUGUGGGAGAGGAUAGUGGAAUUCCAGGUGUAGUGGUGAAAUACGUAGAUAUCUGGAGGAACACCGGUGGCGAAGGCGGCUAUCUGGCCCAACACUGACACUCAGGUGCGACAGCGUGGGGAGCAAACAGG